UUCCAGACUCCUACGGGAGGCAGCAGUGAGGAAUAUUGGUCAAUGGGCGCGAGCCUGAACCAGCCAAGUCGCGUGAGGGAGGACGGCCCUACGGGUUGUAAACCUCUUUUGCCGGGGAGCAACGGGCGCCACGUGUGGCGCCACUGAGAGUACCCGGAGAAAAAGCAUCGGCUAACUCCGUGCCAGCAGCCGCGGUAAUACGGAGGAUGCGAGCGUUAUCCGGAUUUAUUGGGUUUAAAGGGUGCGUAGGCGGAGCUUUAAGACAGUGGUAAAAUUGGGGGGCUCACCCCCUCCCCGCCAUUGAAACUGGCGAUCUUGAGUGGAAGAGAAGUAUGCGGAAUGCGUGGUGUAGCGGUGAAAUGCAUAGAUAUCACGCAGAACCCCGAUUGCGAAGGCAGCAUGCCGGCUUCCGACUGACGCUGAAGCACGAAAGCGUGGGGAUCGAACAGGAUUAGAUACCCGGGUAUCA
rnacentral:rRNA from 1 species